AACGCGUGGGAACGUGCCCUUUGCUACGGAAUAGUCCUGGGAAACUGGGGGUAAUACCGUAUACGCCCUUUUGGGGAAAGAUUUAUCGGCGAAGGAUCGGCCCGCGUUGGAUUAGGUAGUUGGUGGGGUAAUGGCCUACCAAGCCGACGAUCCAUAGCUGGUUUGAGAGGAUGAUCAGCCACACUGGGACUGAGACACGGCCCAGACUCCUACGGGAGGCAGCAGUGGGGAAUCUUAGACAAUGGGGGCAACCCUGAUCUAGCCAUGCCGCGUGAGUGAUGAAGGCCUUAGGGUUGUAAAGCUCUUUCAGCUGGGAAGAUAAUGACGGUACCAGCAGAAGAAGCCCCGGCUAACUCCGUGCCAGCAGCCGCGGUAAUACGGAGGGGGCUAGC
rnacentral:rRNA from 1 species